rnacentral:rRNA from 1 species
UACGUAGGUGGCAAGCGUUAUCCGGAUUUAUUGGGCGUAAAGGGAACGCAGGCGGUCUUUUAAGUCUGAUGUGAGAGCCUUCGGCUUAACCGGAGUAGUGCAUUGGAAACUGGGAGACUUGAGUGCAGAAGAGGAGAGUGGAACUCCAUGUGUAGCGGUGAAAUGCGUAGAUAUAUGGAAGAACACCAGUGGCGAAAGCGGCUCUCUGGUCUGUAACUGACGCUGAGGCUCGAAAGCAUGGGUAGCGAACAGG